GGGUUAAGUCCCGCAACGAGCGCAACCCUCGACCUUAGUUGCCAGCAUUCAGUUGGGCACGUCUAAGGUGACUGCCGGCUAAAAGUCGGAGGAAGGUGGGGAUGACGUCAAAUCAUCAUGCCCCUUAUGACCUGGGCUACACACGUGCUACAAUGGGCGGUACAAAGGGUCGCGAACCCGCGAGGGGGGAGCCAAUCCCAAAAAGCCGCUCUCAGUUCGGAUUGCAGGCUGCAACUCGCCUGCAUGAAGCCGGAAUCGCUAGUAAUCGCGGAUCAGCAUGCCGCGGUGAAUACGUUCCCGGGCCUU
rnacentral:rRNA from 1 species